AAAACCGAGAAACGCGGGUGGGAAGCGAAGAAAGGCCGCGGCUGGGAGAGGCUGGCUGCAUAGCCGAGUGAACACUCGCCGAGACCAGCCGCGAGGAAUCGUGCAAAGAAAAUGCAGCUUGACCUUUUUAACCUGUGUGUGGAACUUCUGGAGCAACUUUCCCUCAUGGUAUGGAUUGUACUAUGGCAUGAUGCACUAAAUGCUGUGCUAGGACAUGGACCGCCAACACUGGAUUAACCUUGCCUAUUAGCUAUGUUUCUGGGAGGAAGAGCAAGUACACGUUCACAAAUAUACCAAAUAACAACCAAAUAUACCAAAUUUAAACCUGAUGGAUGCAAGAACACCAUUUUUUGAACAAAUAUUGAGCAGAAUAAACAGGUUUAUCCCCUUUGGCUCCACGUUUACCAACACUGAAAUGAAAUUAAAAACUGGAACAAUGAAA